rnacentral:rRNA from 1 species
GAGUUUGAUCAUGGCUCAGAUUGAACGCUGGCGGCAUGCCUUACACAUGCAAGUCGAGCGGCAGCGCGGGGGCAACCCUGGCGGCGAGCGGCGGACGGGUGAGUAAUACAUCGGAACGUGUCCUUUCGUGGGGGAUAACCAGUCGAAAGACUGGCUAAUACCGCAUGAGAUCUCGCGAUGAAAGCGGGGGACCGCAAGGCCUCGCGCGAUUGGGGCGGCCGAUGUCGGAUUAGCUAGUUGGCGGGGUAAAGGCCCACCAAGGCGACGAUCCGUAGCUGGUUUGAGAGAACGACCAGCCACACUGGGACUGAGACACGGCCCAGACUCCUACGGGAGGCAGCAGUGGGGAAUUUUGGACAAUGGGGGCAACCCUGAUCCAGCCAUGCCGCGUGUGUGAAGAAGGCCUUCGGUUGUAAGCAC